rnacentral:tRNA from 1 species
GAGAGUAUAGCUUAGUGGUAGAGUGCACGCUUAGCAUGCACAAGGCCCUGGGUUCAAUUCCCAGUACCUCCA